rnacentral:rRNA from 1 species
CAAUAGCGUAUAUUAAAGUUGUUGCAGUUAAAAAGCUCGUAGUUGAACUUCUUGGCAUCCUUUAAGCUGGCUUCGGUCGUUUCAAGGGUGUCAAUCCGCUAGGGAACUACAUUCGCACUUCACUGUGCGGUGUAAGGAACUGGCAUUUUACUUAGAAAAAUUAGAGUGUUCAAGGCAGGCUAUCGCCCUGAAUACACAAGCUUGGAAUAAUGAAAUAGGACUAUUUCCAUUUUAUUGGUUAUUGGAUUUAGUAAUGAUUAAUAGGGACAGUUGGGGGGCAUUUGUAUUUAAUAGUCAGAGGUGAAAUUCUUGGAUUUAUUAAAGACAAACUUAUGCGAAAGCAUUUGCCAAGGAUGUUUUCAUUAAUCAAGAACGAAAGUUAGGGGAUCAAAGAUGAUUAGAUACCAU